AUACGGAGGGGGCUAGCGUUGUUCGGAAUUACUGGGCGUAAAGCGCACGUAGGCGGAUUAAAAAGUUAGAGGUGAAAUCCCAGGGCUUAACCCUGGAACUGCCUUUAAAACUAGUAGUCCAGAGUUCGAGAGAGGUGAGUGGAAUUCCAAGUGUAGAGGUGAAAUUCGUAGAUAUUUGGAGGAACACCAGUGGCGAAGGCGGCUCACUGGCUCGAUACUGACGCUGAGGUGCGAAAGCGUGGGGAGCAAACAGGAUUAGAAACCCCAGUAGUCC
rnacentral:rRNA from 1 species